rnacentral:rRNA from 1 species
AAAUUAAAAAUUAAUGAUUUAAAUUUAAUAAAAGUAAUUUUAAUAUUAAAAAAAAUAAUGGGGGUUAAAGUAUUUUAAUAGAAAAAAUUAUAAAAUUUAUAGUUAAUUAGUAUAGUGAUAGAAUUUUGAAAUAUAUGAAAAUUAAUUUUAAUAAAAGUAAAUUUAAUUUAUUGUAUCUUGUGUAUCAGAGUUUAUUAAAUAAAAUUUUUAAAUAAAAAUAUCUCGAAUUUAAAAGAGUUAAUUAAUUAUUAAAGUUAAUGUUAAAUAAUUAUUUUAAAUAAUUAAUUAGAAAUGAAAUGUUAAUCGUUUUUAAAUAUAUCUAGUUAUUUUAGAAAAAAAUUUAAUUUUAAAUUUAUUAAGAUAUUUAUAUUAAAUAUGAAUAAUAUAAAAAAUAAUAAAUUUUAUAAUUUAAGGGAUAAGCUUUAAAUUAAAAAAUUAUAAUAAAAUAAUAAAAAAUAAAAUUUUUAGAAUUUAAAUUGUUUAAAAAUUAAAGUUUAUUAUAAAAAUUUUUAUUACAAAUAAUAUUUAAAAUUAAAUUUAAUUUUUUAUAAAAAUAUAAUUUUUAAUAAUAAAAAUUUAAAAAUAAUGAUAAAAUUAGUAUAAUAAUAAGAUAAAUGUUAAAUUAAAAAAUAAUAUUAUAAUAAUUUAAGUAAAAGGAAUUCGGCAAAUAUUUAUAUUCACCUGUUUAACAAAAACAUGUCUUUUUGAUGAAUAAUUUAAAGUCUAAUCUGCCCACUGAUAUUAUAUAUUAAAGGGCUGCAGUAUAUUGACUGUACAAAGGUAGCAUAAUCAUUAGUCUUUUAAUUGGAGACUUGUAUGAAGGAUUUAAUGAGAUAUAGACUGUCUCUUAUUUAUUUUUAAAAUUUAAUUUUUUAGUUAAAAAGCUAAAAUAAAUUUAAAAGACGAGAAGACCCUAUAGAGUUUUAUAAUUAUUAAUAUAUUAUAUUUAUAUAAAAUUUUAAAAUUAUAUGUUAGUAAUUAUUAUAUUGGGGUGAUAAAAAAAUUAAUAAAACUUUUUUAAAAUUAUAACAAAAAUAAAUGAUUUAAUGAUCCAUAAUUAAUGAUUAAAAGAAAAAAUUACCUUAGGGAUAACAGCGUAAUAUUUUUUUUUAGUACAAAUAAAAAAAAAAGUUUGCGACCUCGAUGUUGGAUUAAGAUAAAAUUUAAAUGCAAAAGUUUAAAAUUUUGAUCUGUUCGAUCAUUAAAAUCUUACAUGAUCUGAGUUCAAACCGGUGUGAGCCAGGUUGGUUUCUAUCUUUAAAUAAUUAAAAUAUUUUA